rnacentral:rRNA from 1 species
GAUUCGUCACACUAUCAUUAACUGAAUCCAUAGGUUAAUGAGGCGAACCGGGGGAACUGAAACAUCUAAGUACCCCGAGGAAAAGAAAUCAACCGAGAUUCCCCCAGUAGCGGCGAGCGAACGGGGAGGAGCCCAGAGCCUGAAUCAGCAUGUGUGUUAGUGGAAGCGUCUGGAAAGGCGCGCGAUACAGGGUGACAGCCCCGUACACAAAAGCGCAUGUGCUGUGAGCUCGAUGAGUAGGGCGGGACACGUGGUAUCCUGUCUGAAUAUGGGGGGACCAUCCUCCAAGGCUAAAUACUCCUGACUGACCGAUAGUGAACCAGUACCGUGAGGGAAAGGCGAAAAGAACCCCGGCGAGGGGAGUGAAAAAGAACCUGAAACCGUGUACGUACAAGCAGUGGGAGCACCCUUCGGGGUG